GGUUAAAGGGGAGACGGGGCUGAUUUUUUAGGGGAGAUGCGGCGGGCCGCGCCGGAGAGCGACCUCUGGCGGGAGGAGGCUACUCCCGGUGCGGUCACUAGAGGGGAGUCGGGCGGACGAGGGAGGAAAGUAGAGGCAAGAUGAGGAAGAGAGAGCCGGGGUAGCUCGAGCGGAGCUAGGUACCGGGGAGGAAUUUGGAUCGAGGCCAGAGCCGGUGCUGGCCGGAGUGUCUAGAGCCGGCGGUAGGGGAUGCGGAGGGGGGUGCAGAGGGAGUGGAGCGGGCACGUCGUGGCACCGACGUGCAGCGGACGCGGUAGACGACGUCGGGGCGAGAUUUGGUGAACGUACGGUACCCGUCGCCGGUACCUCCUGUGUGGAGGCGGACGAGUGAGCGGCGACCGGUCGGUCAUGGAGGUGGUUGUAGAGUAGGUAGAUCUAGUCACCGGGAAAUUAAAAUCGCCUAAAAGAAGAAGAAAUGUCGUACGAUUAAUCGAUCCUAUAUCAGAACUAAAGUUAAUAACGUCUUACCGUUAGACGAAAUACAAUCGAAAUAGUAGAGUCCUAUUAGGUCUACAAGAGUAUACGGAACUCCUCAACAGCCACCUAAUAUACGUCUCCGAUGGUUCACCAUCGAGGUUACAACGUUCUCCAGUCAUUACCCACGAAGAAGACCCUACCGAGUGGACUCUAUGGUUGCGACUUCCUAGACUUAAAAGUUCGAGUCGUUCCGGACGUACAACGUCAGACACCCUGCCGGCCGAGACCUUUUAGUUCAAACGAGAGAACUUACCAUACCAAGGUUUCGAUAAUCCUCUCCGGUUCUGAACGUCUUGUUACGGUAUACAGUCGGUCUGACGUACCUAUGUUUCGCUGUUUUAAGUCCUGUUGUAUGACGAGCCGUUCUGCUACCUCUCCCUCUUCAUACCUUCCGAGGAACUCACCACAAGCGAUUUCUUUCUGAACCUCUAGUCUUUAGUAACCUCUCACUCAGACGUGAGAAUCACGGACCGUCUUCGUUUCCUGAGCCUAUCGGGCUCGUAACAUAGUCAUACGAUUGUAGAUAAAUAAGGUACUAGGCAAGUUGCGUCAACUGUAUGUCCUAGGGUUAAAAAGUUCUAGCUACCAAAGCAGCACCAGCCGUCCUCUUUAUAGUAGUUACCAUGCCUUUUUCCGUCCAUCCGACUCCGCCCGCAGGUGUGGCUCGUCGGCUAGGUCCUUUGGUCGGGACGCCGUGGGGGAGCACGGUCAGGGGUAGAGAUACAAACACAGUCCGGAUCACGUUCCAUAACCAUCUUCUCUUCCGGCCUUUCUCUUCGACGUUCCAUCCUCCGAAAACUAGACUUCCGUUCAACCUACUAGACGACUGUUUCUUUGUGGAGAUAAGACUUAAAGAUGAACUUUGUUAACUAGUCUAGUGUUUACAUGGAACCAAUACAGAGAGUGACACACGACUUGUUACAAAACGGAUAAAAGUAGAACCAACGACUGUAACAACCACAAUAGACAGUUUCUUUCAACAACUUCACUUUCUACUUCUACUUGGGCAUCUUCUCGACUUUUUUCCUGCACCAUCUUUCUUCCUUCGCUUCGGAUUUGUCAUAUUACUAAUGACGGAGCGGGUCGGCACGUAGGUUCUACGCUGCGAACGACCUUUCGACCAGUUCAUCCGGGAGCUGACGCUCAAAAUCGACUAACUAGGACGUGUAGUCGGAUUGACGAUGUUAUUUACCUGAAUGUUGUCACUAAGAAAGAUAUAACUUAAAGAUAUAAACUGGCGUGGUAAGGAAUCAAAGGAAAGGACUACAGUUCUGUGUUUCUUAAACUCUAGGUUAAAUAGAAAAAAUCAAAAAUGUGAUCUCACGAAGUAAAUAUACAUAAUGACAUCUGUGUACCCUUAGGAGUUCCACCGUCCGAACAAGUCAAUUUACCAUACAAAAUAGAUCUAACAUUAAAGUCGUAGCAACAAGAAAGGACCAAACAUGAUGAAAAGUCCAAAAUCACAGACCUAGAAGUUAUGCUUUGUUUCAGCUGGCAUAUACAGUUAAGACAUAACCAAGAUCCGUUCAUCCAACUGUACAAGUAGACAAUAGUACUCACAGCACAAAUGUGAACGUCAAGUCUAUAAUGCGAAUUCGAUUUCCAGACUAACAUGACAGAUCUCCAGCUUACCGAUUCGAGAGAAAUACCAGGAAAAACAACUUAUAGAACGUUUACCGUGUGAUUUCACGUCCUUUAAUAAUCCACACACCCAUAGUUAGGUCAUACAAGAAUACAGAUACCUAGGCCC
rnacentral:rRNA from 1 species